UCACCACACAGAGAGGCUUGACCUUCGUUUUGUUUAACGAAAAUCUAAAAAGAAAAAAGAAAAAAGAAAAAGAAAAAGAAAAACUAUAUCACCGAUUCUCGUGAUCUUCGGCCUCGAAUCGAAUCGAGAGGUAAAAGAUCCAACCCCGCCUCUGUUUUGUGAUCGAAAACCCAAUCGCCGUUUCCGAUCACAGCCUCAAUCAGAUUCAGCUGUUGUUCCUCGUCAAUUUUCGUGAUAUUUUUAUGAUGAAGAUUCCCGAGGAGUGAUAAUAUUUUACAGUAUUGGCUGAUUUUGGGGAUGAUCCUAGUUAGCUUAGAAUGUGAAUAUUGAAAGGUUUUAAUUGUUGAUUUUGGUCAAGUCUCUAGUCAACCUGUGAAGUUUUAAUUCGGGUUUUCCAAUAUAUAUAGAACCAUGAGUUUUGUUUUUCGAGGAACAAGAGCAGAUAUUGAAAAUGGGUUUCCAGGAUUUAUACCUGAGAGGCGAGCAUUGCGCGUUCAUGCAGCACGUCCUAGUAAUUCUAAUUCACUCACUUUUCUUGUGACAGUUCUUCUGUUAUUCAUGAUACUGAACUCUCACCAGAUGUCCCCUAACUUUCUGCUCUGGCUGGUGCUUGGCGUUUUCUUGAUGGCAACAAUGUUGAGGAUGUAUGCAACAUGUCAACAGCUCCAAGCACAGGCCCAAGCUCAUGCAGCAGCAGCCAGUGGCAUUCUUGGCCACACGGAACUGAGGUUGCAUAUGCCACCAUCAAUAGCACUUGCAAGUCGAGGGCGUCUGCAGGGUCUCAGACUUCAGCUUGCACUUCUUGAUCGGGAGUUUGAUGAUCUUGAUUAUGAAACUUUAAGAGCUUUGGAUUCCGAUAAUGUUUCUACUGCACCUUCUAUGACCGAGGAAGAGAUUAAUGCUCUUCCUGUCCACAAAUAUAAGGUUUCUGGUCCCCAAAGCAGUAGUUCCUCAAUGCAACAAGCAUCAUCUUCCGCAUCUGUUGAGAAGAAGCAAGAUAAUUCAAAUGCUGUUGGGAGCAUGAAAGCCUCUGACGAUGAACUCACUUGCAGUGUAUGCUUGGAGCAAGUUAAUGUUGGUGAUGUACUGCGUAGCUUACCUUGCUUGCACCAGUUUCACGCGAAUUGCAUCGACCCCUGGCUGCGCCAACAAGGGACAUGCCCUGUAUGUAAAUUUCGAGCUGGAUCUGGGUGGAAUGAGAAUGGACAUAAUGAUAUCGCGGACAUGGUUUGAAUACCUGUUUCUAAUUUUAAUUUAUGGGCGUGUGGUUAUAAUCUACAACUGUAACUUACUCUCGUCAUUGUAUCAAAAUUAGUAGCUCAUGACUAGUAUUCGUGUAAUUACCCCUGACGUGUAGGGAUCUCAAGAACGGCACAAUACCGUGUAACAGCUAUACGAGUUUCCCAUUAAACUUACAUUUCUUCAACAGCAUGUACAAAAACAUUUUCUUUGCCGCUACUUAGUUCUAUCUCUCUCUCUCAAAA